rnacentral:misc_RNA from 1 species
UUUCCGUAGGUGAACCUGCGGAAGGAUCAUUAUCGUAGGGGCCUCGCCCCCUUCGAGAUAGCACCCUUUGUUUAUGAGCACCUCUCGUUUCCUCGGCAGGCUUGCCUGCUACUGGGGACCCUUUAAACUCUUUGUAAAUACAGCAACUGUCUGAACAAACAAACAAAAAAUCAAAACUUUCAACAAUGGAUCUCUUGGUUCUGGCAUCGAUGAAGAACGCAGC